CAGCAGCACAACACGAUCUGUUUAGCUUUGGCUCGGCCAGAGCGUGGUGUGCUGCAGC
rnacentral:pre_miRNA from 1 species